AGUACACAUUGUUAGAGCUCAAAAUUGAGGUCACCAACUGGCUAAGGAACUCUGAAGUGUCGAUAAUAUGCUACAUGAGGUGCAAGUUUUUCACAAGCACUUCAUUCUGACCCUAUGAGUGGAGCUUGCUAGGAAUCCUUGCUAUAGGU